rnacentral:rRNA from 1 species
CCCUUAGAUGUUCUGGGCCGCACGCGCGCUACACUGAUGCAUUCAACGAGCCUAGCCUUGACCGAGAGGUCCGGGUAAUCUUUGAAACUGCAUCGUGCUGGGGCUAGAUUAUUGCAAUUAUUAAUCUUCAACGAGGAAUGCCUAGUAAGCGUGAUUCAUCAAAUCGCGUUGAUUACGUCCCUGCCCUUUGUACACACCGCCCGUCGCUCCUACCGAUUGAGUGUGUUGGUGAGGAGUUUGGAUUGGCCUCGGAAGGUGGUUCGCCACCGUCCGUAGCUGAGAAGUUCUCCAAACCGCCCCACUUAGAGGAAGGAGAAGUCGUAACA